GGACGGAAGAAAGAAAAGAAAGAAAGAGACAAGUAAACUUACCCCAUACACACCUCAGCCCAGGCCCUGUGUCUGGUCUGUUUUGUGAAUGGGAGACAUGA
rnacentral:snoRNA from 1 species